CGUCUGGAAAGGCGCGCGAUACAGGGUGACAGCCCCGUACACAAAAAUGCACAUGCUGUGAGCUCGAUGAGUAGGGCGGGACACGUGGUAUCCUGUCUGAAUAUGGGGGGACCAUCCUCCAAGGCUAAAUACUCCUGACUGACCGAUAGUGAACCAGUACCGUGAGGGAAAGGCGAAAAGAACCCCGGCGAGGGGAGUGAAAAAGAACCUGAAACCGUGUACGUACAAGCAGUGGGAGCACGCUUAGGCGUGUGACUGCGUACCUUUUGUAUAAUGGGUCAGCGACUUAUAUUCUGUAGCAAGGUUAACCGAAUAGGGGAGCCGAAGGGAAACCGAGUCUUAACUGGGCGUUAAGUUGCAGGGUAUAGACCCGAAACCCGGUGAUCUAGCCAUGGGCAGGUUGAAGGUUGGGUAACACUAACUGGAGGACCGAACCGACUAAUGUUGAAAAAUUAGCGGAUGACUUGUGGCUGGGGGUGAAAGGCCAAUCAAACCGGGAGAUAGCUGGUUCUCCCCGAAAGCUAUUUAGGUAGCGCCUCGUGAAUUCAUCUCCGGGGGUAGAGCACUGUUUCGGCAAGGGGGUCAUCCCGACUUACCAACCCGAUGCAAACUGCGAAUACCGGAGAAUGUUAUCACGGGAGACACACGGCGGGUGCUAACGUCCGUCGUGAAGAGGGAAACAACCCAGACCGCCAGCUAAGGUCCCAAAGUCAUGGUUAAGUGGGAAACGAUGUGGGAAGGCCCAGACAGCCAGGAUGUUGGCUUAGAAGCAGCCAUCAUUUAAAGAAAGCGUAAUAGCUCACUGGUCGAGUCGGCCUGCGCGGAAGAUGUAACGGGGCUAAACCAUGCACCGAAGCUGCGGCAGCGACGCUUAUGCGUUGUUGGGUA
rnacentral:rRNA from 1 species